GAGAGUUUGAUCCUGGCUCAGGACGAACGCUGGCGGCGUGCCUAAUACAUGCAAGUCGAACGCUUCUUUUUCCACCGGAGCUUGCUCCACCGGAAAAAGAGGAGUGGCGAACGGGUGAGUAACACGUGGGUAACCUGCCCAUCAGAAGGGGAUAACACUUGGAAACAGGUGCUAAUACCGUAUAACAAUCGAAACCGCAUGGUUUUGAUUUGAAAGGCGCUUUCGGGUGUCGCUGAUGGAUGGACCCGCGGUGCAUUAGCUAGUUGGUGAGGUAACGGCUCACCAAGGCGACGAUGCAUAGCCGACCUGAGAGGGUGAUCGGCCACAUUGGGACUGAGACACGGCCCAAACUCCUACGGGAGGCAGCAGUAGGGAAUCUUCGGCAAUGGACGAAAGUCUGACCGAGCAACGCCGCGUGAGUGAAGAAGGUUUUCGGAUCGUAAAACUCUGUUGUUAGAGAAGAACAAGGAUGAGAGUAACUGUUCAUCCCUUGACGGUAUCUAACCAGAAAGCCACGGCUAACUACGUGCCAGCAGCCGCGGUAAUACGUAGGUGGCAAGCGUUGUCCGGAUUUAUUGGGCGUAAAGCGAGCGCAGGCGGUUUCUUAAGUCUGAUGUGAAAGCCCCCGGCUCAACCGGGGAGGGUCAUUGGAAACUGGGAGACUUGAGUGCAGAAGAGGAGAGUGGAAUUCCAUGUGUAGCGGUGAAAUGCGUAGAUAUAUGGAGGAACACCAGUGGCGAAGGCGGCUCUCUGGUCUGUAACUGACGCUGAGGCUCGAAAGCGUGGGGAGCAAACAGGAUUAGAUACCCUGGUAGUCCACGCCGUAAACGAUGAGUGCUAAGUGUUGGAGGGUUUCCGCCCUUCAGUGCUGCAGCUAACGCAUUAAGCACUCCGCCUGGGGAGUACGACCGCAAGGUUGAAACUCAAAGGAAUUGACGGGGGCCCGCACAAGCGGUGGAGCAUGUGGUUUAAUUCGAAGCAACGCGAAGAACCUUACCAGGUCUUGACAUCCUUUGACCACUCUAGAGAUAGAGCUUCCCCUUCGGGGGCAAAGUGACAGGUGGUGCAUGGUUGUCGUCAGCUCGUGUCGUGAGAUGUUGGGUUAAGUCCCGCAACGAGCGCAACCCUUAUUGUUAGUUGCCAUCAUUUAGUUGGGCACUCUAGCAAGACUGCCGGUGACAAACCGGAGGAAGGUGGGGAUGACGUCAAAUCAUCAUGCCCCUUAUGACCUGGGCUACACACGUGCUACA
rnacentral:rRNA from 1 species